GCCCCCUUCGUCUAUCGGCUAGGACGGCAGGUUCUCAUCCUGCAAAGACCGGUUCGAUUCCGGUAGGGGGUGCCA
rnacentral:tRNA from 1 species